AAAUGAAAGAAGGAACAUUAUUCUAGUUUUGAUUGAUAUCAUGAUGGCAAUUGUUGUAUUAGCUCUAUCUAAUCAUUC